rnacentral:rRNA from 1 species
GCUACGGGAGGCAGCAGUGAGGAAUAUUGGUCAAUGGGCGCGAGCCUGAACCAGCCAAGUAGCGUGAAGGAUGACUGCCCUACGGGUUGUAAACUUCUUUUAUAAAGGAAUAAAGUGAGGCACGUGUGCCUUUUUGUAUGUACUUUAUGAAUAAGGAUCGGCUAACUCCGUGCCAGCAGCCGCGGUAAUACGGAGGAUCCGAGCGUUAUCCGGAUUUAUGGGGUUUAAAGGGAGCGUAGAUGGGUUGUUAAGUCAGUUGUGAAAGUUUGCGGCUCAACCGUAAAAUUGCACUUGAUACUGGCAGUCUUGAGUACAGUUGAGGUAGGCGGAAUUCGUGGUGUAGCGGUGAAAUGCUUAGAUAUCACGAAGAACUCCGAUUGCGAAGGCAGCUUACUACACUGCCACUGACAUUGCUGCUCGACAGUGUGGGUAUCAAACAGGAUUAGAUACCCCUGUAGUC